rnacentral:rRNA from 1 species
UACGUAGGGACCAAGCGUUGUCCGGAAUCAUUGGGCGUAAAGAGCGUGUAGGCGGCCAAGCAGGUCCGCUGUGAAAACUCGAGGCUCAACCUCGAGACGUCGGUGGAAACCAUCUGGCUAGAGUCCGGAAGAGGAGAAUGGAAUUCCCGGUGUAGCGGUGAAAUGCGCAGAUAUCGGGAAGAACACCCGUGGCGAAGGCGGUUCUCUGGGACGGUACUGACGCUGAGACGCGAAAGCGUGGGGAGCGAACAGG